rnacentral:rRNA from 1 species
AUUGAACGCUGGCGGCAGGCCUAACACAUGCAAGUCGAGCGGAGCGGCGGACGGGUGAGUAAUGCCUAGGAAUCUGCCUGGGCGUGGGGGAUAACGACCGGUAACGGGCGCUAAUACCGCAUACUUUCAGAUGUUCCUAUGUCGGAUUAGUUAGUUGGUGGGGUAAAGGCUUACCAAGGCGACGAUCCGCAACAGUUCUGCGAGGAUGAUCAGGCACACUGAAACUGAGACACGGUCCAUACUCCUACGGUAGUCAGCAGUGGGGAAUAUUGCACAAUGGGCGAAAGCCUUGUACAGCCGUGCCGCGUGUGUGAUGAAGGUCUUCGGAUUGUAAAGCACUUUAACUUGAGCGGCGUUACCAACAGAAUAAACACCGGCUAACUUCGUGCCAGCGACCGCGGUAAUUC